AUAAUUGGCUCGGCCUUUUGGCUAAGAUCAAGUGUAGUAUCUGUUCACAUAGAUUUUUUUAUAGAAGUCUAAAAUCUGCAUAGAAAUGCAAUACCAAACAAAUGUAAUUAAAUACUAUACAAAGACCGGAAACUCUU
rnacentral:snRNA from 1 species